AUACGAAGGGGGCUAGCGUUGUUCGGAAUCACAGGGCGUAAAGGGCUCGUAGGCGGUUUCGUAAGUCGGGUGUGAAAACUCAGGGCUCAACCCUGAGACGCCACUCGAUACUGCGAUGACUUGAGUCCGGUAGGGGAGCAGGGAAUUCCUGGUGUAGCGGUGAAAUGCGCAGAUAUCAGGAGGAACACCAUUAGCGAAGGCGCUGCUCUGGGCCGGUACUGACGCUGAGGAGCGAAAGCAUGGGGAGCAAACAGGAUUAGAAACCCCAGUAGUCC
rnacentral:rRNA from 1 species